rnacentral:rRNA from 1 species
CCUACGGGAGGCAGCAGUGGGGAAUAUUGCACAAUGGGGGAAACCCUGAUGCAGCGACGCCGCGUGAGUGAAGAAGUAUUUCGGUAUGUAAAGCUCUAUCAGCAGGAACGAGACAAGACGGUACCUGACUAAGAAGCCCCGGCUAACUACGUGCCAGCAGCCGCGGUAAUACGUAGGGGGCAAGCGUUAACCGGAAUCACUGGGUGUAAGGGGAGCGUAGACGGCUGAGCAAGCCUGAAGUGAAAGGCGGGGGCCCAACCCCCGGACUGCUUGGGGAACUGUACGGCUGGAGUGCAGGAGAGGUAAGUGGAAUUCCUAGUGUAGCGGUGAAAUGCGUAGAUAUUAGGAGGAACACCAGUGGCGAAGGCGGCUUACUGGACUGUAACUGACGUUGAGGCUCGAAAGCGUGGGGAGCAAACAGGAUUAGAUACCCCGGUAGUC